GGGAAACCAAUUUGGGGACCGAGAAUUUUGUUUUCUUUGGUUGCGGUGGUGUCUUAUCAUCAUUUUUGGGUGUCGGUGGUGUGGAAGAUUGCGGGUUGAAGCAUGGGGUUUAGGUGAUGGUGGGGGAGUGGGUUUUGAUGGUGGCGAGGAUGGUGGUUGAGGCAUUAUUGGUGAUGGUGGUGGUGGGGAUUGUGGAUGCAAGAUUGGAGAGGUUGGUGGAGUGGGAAGAGAUGUGGGAUGGGACGACUCCUGAGUCUGCUGCACU
rnacentral:lncRNA from 1 species